rnacentral:rRNA from 1 species
GAUGAACGCUGGCGGCGUGCCUAAUACAUGCAAGUCGAGCGAACAGACGAGGAGCUUGCUCCUCUGACGUUAGCGGCGGACGGGUGAGUAACACGUGGAUAACCUACCUAUAAGACUGGGAUAACUUCGGGAAACCGGAGCUAAUACCGGAUAAUAUAUUGAACCGCAUGGUUCAAUAGUGAAAGACGGUUUUGCUGUCACUUAUAGAUGGAUCCGCGCCGCAUUAGCUAGUUGGUAAGGUAACGGCUUACCAAGGCAACGAUGCGUAGCCGACCUGAGAGGGUGAUCGGCCACACUGGAACUGAGACACGGUCCAGACUCCUACGGGAGGCAGCAGUAGGGAAUCGUCCGCAAUGGGCGAAAGCCUGACGGAGCAACGCCGCGUGAGUGAUGAAGGUCUUCGGAUCGUAAAACUCUGUUAUUAGUGAAGAACAAAUGUGUAAGUAACUAUGCACUUCUUGACGGUACCUAAUCAGAAAGCCACGGCUAACUACGUG